AUGAACGCUAGCGACAGGCCUAACACAUGCAAGUCGAGGGGCAGCACAAGGAGCAAUCUGAGGUGGCGACCGGCGCACGGGUGAGUAACACGUAUGCAACCUGCCUGUAAGCGGGGAAUAACCCGUUGAAAGACGGACUAAUACCGCAUAAUACUAAAUUACUGCAUGGUAAUUUAUUUAAACAUUUAUGGCUUACAGAUGGGCAUGCGCAUGAUUAGCUAGUUGGAGAGGUAACGGCUCCCCAAGGCAACGAUCAUUAGGGGUUCUGAGAGGAAGGUCCCCACCACUGGUACUGAGACACGGACCAGACUCCUACGGGAGGCAGCAGUGAGGAAUAUUGGUCAAUGGACGAGAGUCUGAACCAGCCAAGUCGCGUGCAGGAAGAAUGUCCUAAUGGAUUGUAAACUGCUUUUGCAGGGGAAUAAAGUGCAUCACGUGUGAUGUUUUGUAUGUACUCUGCGAAUAAGGAUCGGCUAACUCCGUGCCAGCAGCGGC
rnacentral:rRNA from 1 species